rnacentral:tRNA from 1 species
AGUUCGGAGGUGUUUUACAUGUUGAAUUGCAAAUUCAAAGUAGCAGUCUAACCCCUGCCCGGACUU